ensembl:snoRNA SNORA70 Small nucleolar RNA SNORA70
CUUCAUACCUGCUGGCUGGGCUCCCUUCGUAAUGAGAGCCUGCUGUGUACUGGCUGCAAAAUGCAGCUUCCUUGGUGGUGCGCAUAGCCAGCUGCCUGAGUGGGUUCCCCCAAGAGACCUUGGAGACAGCU